rnacentral:rRNA from 1 species
AAUAGAUACCCGGGUAGUCCACGCCGUAAACGAUGAGUGCUAAGUGUUAGGGGGUUUCCGCCCCUUAGUGCUGCAGCUAACGCAUUAAGCACUCCGCCUGGGGAGUACGGUCGCAAGACUGAAACUCAAAGGAAUUGACGGGGGCCCGCACAAGCGGUGGAGCAUGUGGUUUAAUUCGAAGCAACGCGAAGAACCUUACCAGGUCUUGACAUCCCGCUGACCGGCCUAGAGAUAGGCUUUUCCCUUCGGGGACAGCGAUGACAGGUGGUGCAUGGUUGUCGUCAGCUCGUGUCGUGAGAUGUUGGGUUAAGUCCCGCAACGGAGCGCAACCCUUGAUCUUAGUUGCCAGCAUUCAGUUGGGCACUCUAAGGUGACUGCCGGUGAUAAACCGGAGGAAGGUGGGGAUGACGUCAAAUCAUCAUGCCCCUUAUGACCUGGGCUACACACGUGCUACAAUGGACGGUACAGAGGGUCGCAACCCCGCGAGGGUGAGCUAAUCCCAUAAAACCGUUCUCAGUUCGGAUUGUAGGCUGC